UACGUAGGGCGCAAGCGUUGUCCGGAAUUAUUGGGCGUAAAGAGCUCGUAGGCGGCUUGUCACGUCGGGUGUGAAAGCCCGGGGCUUAACCCCGGGUCUGCAUUCGAUACGGGCUAGCUAGAGUGUGGUAGGGGAGAUCGGAAUUCCUGGUGUAGCGGUGAAAUGCGCAGAUAUCGAGAGGAACACCUGCGGCGAAGGCGGGUUGCUGGGCUGACACUGACGCUGAGGCGCGAAAGCUAGGGGAGCAAACGGG
rnacentral:rRNA from 1 species